CUCUCUCUCCUUCAGCAAAACCCCGUCUUCCUCUCCAUCUCUCUCAUUUCCUUCCCCAAACCCCGCAACCUCCCCAACAGCCACCACAAUCACUCUCAAUCAAAAACCAACAUGCCCCAAACUCCGCCUCUUCCUCUUCCGGCUCAACCCUCCGUUCAGAUCCAAUCCCCAGAAGGCUGCUCUCCCAAAAACAAUGAUUGAAAUUGAUGAAAUCUCUCUCGCAAAGGCAAUGCUUCGAGGCGUGGCUGGAGGAGGUGCGACCUGGCCUGGACUCGUGGGGCGAAGGGAAGGCAAAGUGGUGAGGAGUGAGGACUCUGUGAGCUACUUAUACAGGCUGGGCAAAGAGGCCGAUAACAACAACAUCGCCGUAGGAUCCCGGGGAGGCGUCGUCGAUAAUCUUUAUGUCGGCAAAUCCCUCAAUCGAGACUCCGAUAUCGUCUUUGAUUAUCGAUAAAAGGUCACCAGGUACUGGAAGUACCUGCAAGGCGAUUAUUACAUUGCGCCUCUCUUCAUGGUAUGAUGGACUUCGAUAACCUUCUCGAUUUCAAGAACGACGACCCACUCCUCAACCCUCUGCUAAGAAAAGGUGGGUCUUCUCUUCUCUUCGAAUUGGUAUUUAGGUUUUCUUGCUUUCUCACUUUACUUUCUUGAUUCAUUUAAUUUUUUUGUAUGAAUUUUGCUCUCUUAGAACUUAAAAUUUCAUUCCUUCUUUUUUGUUCUCGACCUUUUCAACUCUUGAGUGUAUUAGGAAAUUGGAUGAUAUUUUGACUGAUGUGAACUGGAGAAGGUGAGGUCUUGGUUGCCAAGUGGGAAGGUUAAGCCUGUGCGGUUGAAUGAUGUGAACUGGGGGAUUAGUUGGAAAGAUCGGCGAAUUCCAUUACUUGAUUCAACCUAGUACCAGUGCAAGAGAGUCUGCUCAAGAAGUUGGGAAAAGCAUGCGUGGUGGUACUGCAGACUUCGGUGAUCCUGUAACUUUCAGAUUUGGAGAAGGA